CAGGUCUAGAUUAGUCAUCGUUAGAGCCAUUUUCCAGUUGAAAGUCAUGGGACAGAGACAUAAGAAAGACAUUCAUGAUGAAAUGUAUCCAACCUUUCUGCAAUGAUAUAAUACCUUCAAGUAUUGACGGGUUGAUCAUCAUUUGAGAAGCAUCAAAAGCGUUACAGAUUUGCAGUUCUCCUAUUAGAUAAUUAAAAAAUACACUACAUAAUGAACUUUCUCGGCUAAGUUGCCCCAUAUGUAGCAUGAUAAACGCGAAUCACUACAAAAGGUUGUCAAGAUAUGGUUAGUUAUAUUAUCUUACUCGAAUGAAUUCAAUUUUUUUUGGAGUAAAUGACAGCUAACUUACUUGAUGUCGCUUAGGGUGAAUUCAAGUUUUUUUGUUGCUUUCCCCCGGUACACUGAAUGUUUUCGACAUCACCACAAUCCAUAACUUGACUGAACACAUCUGUAAAAAAAACUGUAAACAUUAGUAUAGAUUGUUACAUAAUAUAUAGUGGCUAAACCGAUUAUAUUUAUAUGUUUACCAAUUAAAAAAUUCUCAUCAAGUGUUCCAGACAAAACGGAUUGAAAGUCUGACAAAUUCAGAUACAGCUCAUCAUUAACGUGAUUAGAUCGCGUAACGACCGUAUUUUGAUUGAAAACA